AAGAAGGAGGCGGCGGCGGCGGCCGGAGCUGGAGGGGGAGGAGGGGAGGAACCUGAUCCUCGGUAGCGAAGGGCUGGAGGCAAACACCGAGCUCCCCCUGAGCCGCCUGGGAGCAGGGAGGGUUCUGCUACCCUGAGGGGCCCUCCCCGCGGGGCAGAGGGUGGGAGGAAGUCACAGCAUCUACUUCUGAAUCUGUGCUUGCCUUGAGGAAAAACGGCAUGGCACAGGAAUGUGGACGCUUUCAACCAGAGGAUUCUGUACGACGGUGUCGGCACACAAGGAGUGUUCCACUGACUGACCUCUUUUUGUUUUCAAAUGAAGAGGAGCCAAGAAUAGGACAGCUUGGGAAGGUGAGCUGCGUAUAGCUCGUCAGGCUGAGCUCAUCCUCGUCUACGGCCAAACGUUGGUUUCUCAUUUCUAGAAGAUGAAAGAUGUGAUGACUCAGGAAAAACUUGCUGCUCGAGAUGUGAGUCUUCAGAUGUUCCUGCCGCCAUAUCUGACAGCUGCUGCCAAGAUUCCCUGGUGGGAUGGACUCUUAUACCUCAACAACCAGAAGCCCAAGUAAACUCUUCUAUAAAUUGAAUGACUCAUGCUUAAAAAAAAAAACAAAAAACAAACUAUCUUUA
rnacentral:lncRNA from 1 species